rnacentral:rRNA from 1 species
GCAAGCGCAGCUACCAUGCAGUCGAGCGGAACAAGAGGUGCUUGCCCUCUGGCGUCGAGCGGCGGACGGGUGAGUAAUGCUUGGGAAUAUGCCUUAUGGUGGGGGACAACAGUUGGAAACGACUGCUAAUACCGCAUGAUGUCUACGGACCAAGGUGGGGGACCUUCGGGCCUCACGCCAUAAGAUUAGCCCAAGUGGGAUUAGCUAGUUGGUGAGGUAAUGGCUCACCAAGGCGACGAUCCCUAGCUGGUUUGAGAGGAUGAUCAGCCACACUGGGACUGACACACGGCCCACACUCCUACGGGAGGCAGCAGUGGGGAAUAUUGCACAAUGGGCGCAAGCCUGAUGCAGCCAUGCCGCGUGUGUGAAGAAGGCCUUCGGGUUGUAAAGCACUUUCAGUAAGGAGGAAAGGUUAAGUGUUAAUAGCACUUAGCUGUGACGUUACUUACAGAAGAAGCACCGGCUAACUCCGUGCCAGCAGCCGCGGUAAUACGGAGGGUGCGAGCGUUAAUCGGAAUUACUGGGCGUAAAGCGUACGCAGGCGGUUUGUUAAGCGAGAUGUGAAAGCCCCGGGCUCAACCUGGUAACUGCAUUUCGAACUGGCAAACUAGAGUGUGAUAGAGGGUGGUAGAAUUUCAGGUGUAGCGGUGAAAUGCGUAGAGAUCUGAAGGAAUACCGAUGGCGAAUGCAGCCACCUGGGUCAACACUGACGCUCAUGUACGAAAGCGUGGGGAGCAAACAUGACUAGAUACCCCUGGGUAGUCA